GACGAACGCUGGCGGCGUGCUUAACACAUGCAAGUCGAACGGAAAGGCCCUGCUUUUGUGGGGUGCUCGAGUGGCGAACGGGUGAGUAACACGUGAGUAACCUGCCCUUGACUUUGGGAUAACUUCAGGAAACUGGGGCUAUACCGGAUAGGAGCUCCUGCUGCCUGGGGGGGGUUGGGAAGGUUCGGCGGUUGGGGAUGGACUCGCGGCUUAUCAGCUUGUUGGUGGGGUAGUGGCUUACCAAGGCUUUGACGGGUAGCCGGCCUGAGAGGUUGACCGGCCACAUUGGGACUGAGAUACGGCCCAGACUCCUACGGGAGGCAGCAGUGGGGAAUAUUGCACAAUGGGCGGAAGCCUGAUGCAGCAACGCCGCGUGCGGGAUGACGGCCUUCGGGUUGUAAACCGCUUUCGCCUGUGACGAAGCGUGAGUGACGGUAAUGGGUAAAGAAGCACCGGCUAACUACGUG
rnacentral:rRNA from 1 species